rnacentral:rRNA from 1 species
GGUUAAGCGACUAAGCGUACACGGUGGAUGCCCUGGCAGUCAGAGGCGAUGAAGGACGUGCUAAUCUGCGAAAAGCGUCGGUAAGGUGAUAUGAACCGUUACAGCCGGCGAUGUCCGAAUGGGGAAACCCAGUGCAAUUCGUUGCACUAUCGUUAACUGAAUACAUAGGUUAACGAGGCGAACCGGGGGAACUGAAACAUCUAAGUACCCCGAGGAAAAGAAAUCAACCGAGAUUCCCCAGUAGCGGCGAGCGAACGGGGAGCAGCCCAGAGUCUGAAUCAGCUUGUGUGUUAGUGGAACGGUCUGGAAAGUCCGACGGUACAGGGUGAUAGUCCCGUACACCAAAAUGCACAGGUUGUGAACUCGAAGAGUAGGGCGGGACACGUGGUAUCCUGUCUGAAUAUGGGGGGACCAUCCUCCAAGGCUAAAUACUCCUGACUGACCGAUAGUGAACCAGUACCGUGAGGGAAAGGCGAAAAGAACCCCGGCGAGGGGAGUGAAAAAGAACCUGAAACCGUGUACGUACAAGCAGUGGGAGCACCUUCGGGUGUGACUGCGUACCUUUUGUAUAAUGGGUCAGCGACUUAUAUUCUGUAGCAAGGUUAACCGUAUAGGGGAGCCGCAGGGAAACCGAGUCUUAACUGGGCGUUAAGUUGCAGGGUAUAGACCCGAAACCCGGUGAUCUAGCCAUGGGCAGGUUGAAGGUUGGGUAACACUAACUGGAGGACCGAACCGACUAAUGUUGAAAAAUUAGCGGAUGACUUGUGGCUGGGGGUGAAAGGCCAAUCAAACCGGGAGAUAGCUGGUUCUCCCCGAAAGCUAUUUAGGUAGCGCCUCGUGAACUCAUCUUCGGGGGUAGAGCACUGUUUCGGCUAGGGGGUCAUCCCGACUUACCAACCCGAUGCAAACUACGAAUACCGAAGAAUGUUAUCACGGGAGACACACGGCGGGUGCUAACGUCCGUCGUGAAGAGGGAAACAACCCAGACCGCCAGCUAAGGUCCCAAAGUCAUGGUUAAGUGGGAAACGAUGUGGGAAGGCACAGACAGCCAGGAUGUUGGCUUAGAAGCAGCCAUCAUUUAAAGAAAGCGUAAUAGCUCACUGGUCGAGUCGGCCUGCGCGGAAGAUGUAACGGGGCUAAACCAUGCACCGAAGCUGCGGCAGCGACACUAUGUGUUGUUGGGUAGGGGAGCGUUCUGUAAGCCUGCGAAGGUGUGCUGUGAGGCAUGCUGGAGGUAUCAGAAGUGCGAAUGCUGACAUAAGUAACGAUAAAGCGGGUGAAAAGCCCGCUCGCCGGAAGACCAAGGGUUCCUGUCCAACGUUAAUCGGGGCAGGGUGAGUCGACCCCUAAGGCGAGGCCGAAAGGCGUAGUCGAUGGGAAACAGGUUAAUAUUCCUGUACUUGGUGUUACUGCGAAGGGGGGACGGAGAAGGCUAUGUUAGCCGGGCGACGGUUGUCCCGGUUUAAGCAUGUAGGCUGGUUAUCCAGGCAAAUCCGGAUAAUCAAGGCUGAGGUGUGAUGACGAGGCACUACGGUGCUGAAGUAACAAAUGCCCUGCUUCCAGGAAAAGCCUCUAAGCAUCAGGUAACAUCAAAUCGUACCCCAAACCGACACAGGUGGUCAGGUAGAGAAUACCAAGGCGCUUGAGAGAACUCGGGUGAAGGAACUAGGCAAAAUGGUGCCGUAACUUCGGGAGAAGGCACGCUGGUGUGUAGGUGAAGUCCCUGCGGAUGGAGCUGAGACCAGUCGAAGAUACCAGCUGGCUGCAACUGUUUAUUAAAAACACAGCACUGUGCAAACACGAAAGUGGACGUAUACGGUGUGACGCCUGCCCGGUGCCGGAAGGUUAAUUGAUGGGGUUAUCCGUAAGGAGAAGCUCUUGAUCGAAGCCCCGGUAAACGGCGGCCGUAACUAUAACGGUCCUAAGGUAGCGAAAUUCCUUGUCGGGUAAGUUCCGACCUGCACGAAUGGCGUAAUGAUGGCCAGGCUGUCUCCACCCGAGACUCAGUGAAAUUGAACUCGCUGUGAAGAUGCAGUGUACCCGCGGCAAGACGGAAAGACCCCGUGAACCUUUACUAUAGCUUGACACUGAACAUUGAGCCUUGAUGUGUAGGAUAGGUGGGAGGCUUUGAAGCGUGGACGCCAGUCUGCGUGGAGCCAACCUUGAAAUACCACCCUUUAAUGUUUGAUGUUCUAACGUUGGCCCCUGACCGGGGUUGCGGACAGUGUCUGGUGGGUAGUUUGACUGGGGCGGUCUCCUCCCAAAGCGUAACGGAGGAGCACGAAGGUUAGCUAAUCCUGGUCGGACAUCAGGAGGUUAGUGCAAUGGCAUAAGCUAGCUUGACUGCGAGCGUGACGGCGCGAGCAGGUGCGAAAGCAGGUCAUAGUGAUCCGGUGGUUCUGAAUGGAAGGGCCAUCGCUCAACGGAUAAAAGGUACUCCGGGGAUAACAGGCUGAUACCGCCCAAGAGUUCAUAUCGACGGCGGUGUUUGGCACCUCGAUGUCGGCUCAUCACAUCCUGGGGCUGAAGUAGGUCCCAAGGGUAUGGCUGUUCGCCAUUUAAAGUGGUACGCGAGCUGGGUUUAGAACGUCGUGAGACAGUUCGGUCCCUAUCUGCCGUGGGCGCUGGAGAAUUGAGGGGGGCUGCUCCUAGUACGAGAGGACCGGAGUGGACGCAUCACUGGUGUUCGGGUUGUCAUGCCAAUGGCACUGCCCGGUAGCUAAAUGCGGAAGAGAUAAGUGCUGAAAGCAUCUAAGCACGAAACUUGCCCCGAGAUGAGUUCUCCCUGAGACUAUAAGUCUCCUGAAGGAACGUUAAAGACGAUGACGUUGAUAGGCCGGGUGUGUAAGCGCAGCGAUGCGUUGAGCUAACCGGUACUAAUGAACCGUGAGGCUUAACCUU